AUACUGCAUCAGGAACUGAUUG
rnacentral:miRNA from 6 species